rnacentral:rRNA from 1 species
AUGCAGCUGCUACCUGCUGCUGCUGUAUGCACCAUGUCUGAAGAAGACCCCUCUGUGGACCGAACUCUCUGGAGUACUCCUGGAUCUUCUGGCCAAGGAGGAGCACAGCGAGUAGCAGCCUGGGCACUGACUAGGAGGCGUUGGGGCCUGGGCGAGCCUGGGAGGAGGCGUUGGGGCCUAGGCGAGGAGGCGCUAGGCGCAGCGAGCCUGGGAGAGGAGCCGAUGGGCGUAGCGAGCUGGAGGCGCUGGGUCGAGGAACUGCUGGUGCUGGGCGAUGGCGACGUGCAGGAGCUGCUGGUGCUGGGCGACGGUGACGUGCAGGAGCUGCUAGGAGAUGCGCCUGGAGCUCGUGGGCGUUGGGCGCUGGGUGCGGCGAGGCGGCAAGCGCUACGCGUGGGGAAGAACCGAGGGCAUGGUGCCAUGGUCUCGUGGGUGCCUAGUGCCAUGGACGCGUGGGUGAUUUUGAAUUUGAAUUUCUGA